rnacentral:rRNA from 1 species
CCUACGGGUGGCUGCAGUGGGGAAUUUUGGACAAUGGGGGCAACCCUGAUCCAGCCAUGCCGCGUGAGUGAAGAAGGCCUUCGGGUUGUAAAGCUCUUUCGGCCGGGAAGACAUCGCUCAAGCUAAUACCUUGGGUGGAUGACGGUACCGGAAGAAGAAGCACCGGCUAACUACGUGCCAGCAGCCGCGGUAAUACGUACGGUGCGAGCGUGAGUCGGAAUUACUGGGCGUGAGGCGUGCGCAAGCGGCGAAAUCCCCGGGCGUAACCUGGGGACUGCGUUUGUGACUGUGGUGCUCGAGUGCGGCAGAGGGGGGUGGAAUUCCACGUGUAGCAGUGAAAUGCGUAGAGAUGUGGAGGAACACCGAUGGCGAAGGCAGCCCCCUGGGUCGACACUGACGCUCAUGCACGAAAGCGUGGGGAGCAAACAGGAUUAGAUACCCCAGUAGUC